UGAAAGGUAUGUGCCAAAUUCUGAAAUUCUAUGUGCCAAAUUCUGAAAUUCAAUAUAAAUUUUAGAUUUGAUCAUUUUCAUUGUUACAAAUUGCUCCCCCUUAAAUGUAUAUGCUUUUCUAUUAUAAUUUUCAACUUGUUUGUCAACUUAUUUCUCUUUUCUUGCUCAACUCAUUUCUCUUUCCUUGCUUCUCCCCCUUUUUGUUAUCAUCAAAUAGGUGCAUGGGAAUAGACACAAUAAUUAACAAACAUUUCAGCUUCAUUGAUCAAAAUGGAACAUUGUAGUACAAUAAUGCCAA
rnacentral:lncRNA from 1 species